CGGCGGACGGGUGAGUAACACGUGGAUAACCUACCUAUAAGACUGGGAUAACUUCGGGAAACCGGAGCUAAUACCGGAUAAUAUAUUGAACCGCAUGGUUCAAUAGUGAAAGACGGUUUUGCUGUCACUUAUAGAUGGAUCCGCGCCGCAUUAGCUAGUUGGUAAGGUAACGGCUUACCAAGGCAACGAUGCGUAGCCGACCUGAGAGGGUGAUCGGCCACACUGGAACUUAGACACGGUCCAGACUCCUACGGGAGGCAGCAGUU
rnacentral:rRNA from 1 species